AGGUGGAUAUUGAUUGGCUUAUUAGAUGGAUAUUGGCCCAGUUUAUCUUUCAUUUUUUCUAUAGCUGUUAGAAAUUUACUUUGCUCAUAGUUCAUACUAUAAUUAAUAUGAGACUCUUGAUUUGUGGUCAAGUGUUCAGCGCUUGGAAGUACGCUAGUUUGUUGUCAUGAAGAAGUCAUUCAAGUUCCUUCCACUGAAGUUGGUGCAUAAGGCUGCAACACCAUCUAGUGGAGGGUGUUCUGGACAAAGAAAGCUUGUACCUUAAAAUAGGAGGAUACAAGAAGCUGGAGUGGUUGUCUGAAGGCUUUUGAACUGCUUGAAGCAUUAGUGUAGCUUUGGUGCUUUUGUGACUGAUCAGCUCUGGAGCAGCUAGAGCGAUAUAGUUGUGGGCUUUUGAACAAUAGUUAGAGUGAUAGUUAGAGUGAUAUGAAACAUUAGUGAUCUAGUUGUGAAUGAUAUUAUAAUUGUGAUGCUUUUGUGAAUAUAUAAUUGUGGUGCUUUUGUGUUUA